rnacentral:rRNA from 1 species
UGAUCAGCCACACUGGGACUGACACACGGUCCAGACUCCUACGGGAGGCAGCAGUGAGGAAUUUUGCGCAAUGGGGGAAACCCUGACGCAGCAACGCCGCGUGAGUGAUGAAGUCUUUCGGGUCGUAAAGCUCUGUCAAGUGGGAAGAACCUAUAUAAUGUUAAUACCAUUAUAUACUGACGGUACCACUGAAGGAAGCACCGGCUAACUCCGUGCCAGCAGCCGCGGUAAUACGGGGGGUGCAAGCGUUAUUCGGAAUCAUUGGGCGUAAAGAGCACGUAGGCGGCUUGGUGAGUCAGAUGUGAAAGCCCGGGGCUUAACCCCGGAAGUGCAUUUGAUACUGCCAAGCUUGAGUAUGGGAGAGGGAAGUGGAAUUCCUGGUGUAGAGGUGAAAUUCGUAGAUAUCAGGAGGAACACCGGUGGCGAAGGCGACUUCCUGGACCAAUACUGACGCUGAGGUGCGAAGGCGUGGGUAGCAAACAGGAUUAGAUACCCUGGUAGUCCACGCAGUAAACGUUGUUCACUAGGUGUAGCGGGUAUUGACCCCUGCUGUGCCGCAGUUAACGCAUUAAGUGAACCGCCUGGGGAGUACGGCCGCAAGGUUAAAACUCAAAGGAAUUGACGGGGGCCCGCACAAGCGGUGGAGCAUGUGGUUUAAUUCGACGCAACGCGAAGAACCUUACCUGGAUUUGACAUCCCGGGAAUCCUAUCGAAAGACUGGAGUGCCCUUCGGGGAGCCCGGAGACAGGUGCUGCAUGCCUGUCGUCAGCUCGUGUCGUGAGAAUGUGGGUUAGUCCCGCAACGAGCGCAACCCUUGUCUUUAGUUGCCAUCAUUCAGUUGGGAACUCUAAGAUACUGCCCC